GGUUAAGCGACUAAGCGUACACGGUGGAUGCCCUGGCAGUCAGAGGCGAUGAAGGACGUGCUAAUCUGCGAAAAGCGCCGGCGAGGUGAUAUGAACCCUUGACCCGGCGAUGUCCGAAUGGGGAAACCCAGUGUGAUUCGUCACACUAUCGUUAACUGAAUACAUAGGUUAACGAGGCGAACCGGGGGAACUGAAACAUCUAAGUACCCCGAGGAAAAGAAAUCAACCGAGAUUCCCCCAGUAGCGGCGAGCGAACGGGGAGCAGCCCAGAGUCUGAAUCAGCUUGUGUGUUAGUGGAAGCGUCUGGAAAGUCGCACGGUACAGGGUGAUAGUCCCGUACACGAAAGCACACAGGCUGUGAACUCGAAGAGUAGGGCGGGACACGUGGUAUCCUGUCUGAAUAUGGGGGGACCAUCCUCCAAGGCUAAAUACUCCUGACUGACCGAUAGUGAACCAGUACCGUGAGGGAAAGGCGA
rnacentral:rRNA from 1 species